rnacentral:rRNA from 1 species
GAUGAACGCUGGCGGCGUGCCUAAUACAUGCAAGUCGAACGCAUUGAGAGAAGUGCUUGCACUUUUCAAUUUGAGUGGCGAACGGGUGAGUAACACGUGGGCAACCUACCUGAUAGCGGGGGAUAACGAGUGGAAACAUUCGCUAAUACCGCAUAACAAUAGAGAAGGCAUCUUCUUUAUUUAAAAGGCGCUUUCAAGCGUCACUAUCAGAUGGGCCCGCGGUGCAUUAGUUAGUUGGUGGGGUGAAGGCCUACCAAGACGAUGAUGCAUAGCCGAGUCGAGAGACUGAUCGGCCACAUUGGGACUGAGACACGGCCCAAACUCCUACGGGAGGCUGCAGUAGGGAAUCUUCCACAAUGGACGAAAGUCCGAUGGAGCAACGCCGCGUGUGUGAUGAAGGCUUUCGGGUCGUAAAGCACUGUUGUAUGGGAAGAAAUGCUAGGCUAGGAAAUGAGCUUAGUUUGACGGUACCAUACCAGAAAGGGACGGCUAAAUACGUGCCAGCCGCCGCGGUAA